CAAGGGGGUGCUUAUUGGUGGAUUCUGAUGAAUCUGGAGGCUGAGAUUAUACCCUAAGACCUGAUUCGGUUAAUACCGACGUAGGCAUUUGGA
rnacentral:ncRNA from 1 species